GGCACUGUAGCUUAACCUGGCAAAGCAUCGGUUUCAUGAGCCGAGGAUUGGGAGUUCAAAUCUCCUCAGUGCCA
rnacentral:tRNA from 2 species